UUGCCGGUGCAAGUCCGGCCUGGGGAGUUGUCGGUGCACCCCAGUAGCUACCGAGGCAGUGAGGAGGGCAACCGAAUUGCUGAAGCUCUCGGGACAGGGGCCCACCUUGGGUGGGUCGGCAAGUCGACGGGCCGCAACGCGU
rfam:Candidatus Rokubacteria bacterium GWC2_70_16 gwc2_scaffold_32581, whole genome shotgun sequence.